rnacentral:rRNA from 1 species
CACGUAGGGUGCGAGCGUUGUCCGGAAUUAUUGGGCGUAAAGAGCUCGUAGGCGGUGUGUCGCGUCGGCCGUGAAAACCUGCAGCUUAACUGUGGGCUUGCGGUCGAUACGGGCAUCACUGGAGUUCGGCAGGGGAGACUGGAAUUCCUGGGUGUAGCGGUGAAAUGCGCAGAUAUCAGGAGGGAACACCGGUGGCCGAAGGCGGGUCUCUGGGCCGAUACUGACGC